AUUGAACGCUGGCGGCAUGCCUUACACAUGCAAGUCGAACGGCAGCACGGACUUCGGUCUGGUGGCGAGUGGCGAACGGGUGAGUAAUGUAUCGGAACGUACCUUUCAGUGGGGGAUAACGUAGCGAAAGUUACGCUAAUACCGCAUAUUCUGUGAGCAGGAAAGCAGGGGAUCGCAAGACCUUGCGCUGAUUGAGCGGCCGAUAUCAGAUUAGCUAGUUGGUGGGGUAAAGGCCUACCAAGGCUACGAUCUGUAGCGGGUCUGAGAGGAUGAUCCGCCACACUGGAACUGAGACGCGGCCCAGACUCCUACGGGAGGCAGCAGUGGGGAAUAUUGGACAAUGGGGGCAACCCUGAUCCAGCGACGCCGCGUGUGUGAAGAAGGCCUGCGGGUUGUAAAGCACUUUUAGUGGGGAGGAAGGUCUGCGACCUAACACGUCGUGGAAUUGACUUAACCCACAGAAAAAGCAACCGGCUAACUCUGUGCCAGCA
rnacentral:rRNA from 1 species